GGGCACCCCAUCCAGGAGUGGACAACACAGGGGGUCCCCACUGUCAUGAGACAGCAGGCUGCGUCAGUGAGAGGUCCGUCUCCCGUACAGACACACAAGCCGCAGGCAGACCUUGAGCCUGCCCCCGUAGCAGCAGGAGGCCGCUCGGAUUUCCUUGGAGGGCUGGGCGGCACAGGGCACGUGUUCCUGCACAGCCCGUUCCUGGGAGGCGGCUGCCCCCAUGGUAGAUGUGGACGAGCUCUGCUCCUCCCCAAGCCGGGUUACACGUGGCCAGCUUGCUGUCCUGGCUCCCUAUCUGUGGAGCGGACAGAGGCUGGAGGAGAAGGAAGGGGUCCAGGAAGGGAGUGUGCGGCCACCCUGGGGAGGGGCCAGGAGCAUCAGGGGAGGGCCAACAGCACGAACUGUAGUUUUCAGUGGUGGAUGGGCUUGGGGGUAAUAUUUCUUUGAGGCAACAUCUCAUUACAUUGUUCUUUCCUAUCCUUAGAAGCCCCCAGCCCCCACCCCCACAUGGAAAACAAGAACCUGAGAGGACUAACGGCUGGGCUCCAGAGAGACCUGGGGCGGCAGGAGGAAGAGAAAGAUGAAUUCCAAAAGUCCCCCCUGCCAGAGUCAGAACACAGUGGAAACGGCAGAAACGGGGGCUCUCCUUGGGUGCGAGAAGGAGGCCCUGCACUUCCUGGCACAGCUGCCCGGUGGGCGCCCAGCAGAGCCUCCACCAGGAGGCCAGCGCCGCCAGCAGAGCGUGCCACGCUCAGGGCCGCACUGCAGAACACGCACGUCCGCUGCGGGGUACAGAUCAGACUGGCAGAGCUUCGCCUCAGGGGAAAGAGGAAAAGCCAGGGGCUGUGGCAACAGUUUAAGGAAGCGGUGACAGCCCUUAAAACCAGGUGGGAUGCAGUGGGAAGGGAGAGAAGCGGGUGGACGUCAGAUAUGUUCGGGAGGCCAAACCGACGUCCUUAGUGAGCAGGUGUUGAAGACACAGGCCAGAAGGGAGCCCGGGUAGAGAUAGACACGCAAUGCGCCAAGGAGAUGAAGACAGGGAGCUCUGGGCGAAGGCGCCGCGUCCGAGUGCAUUUUCUUCAGUGUCUCCCAGGGCAGGCGGCUCGCUCUGAAGGCCUCAAUUCCUCCCUCUCUCACAGCCUCACCCCAGGCCACAUGACACACUUGGGCUCUGGGCUCAGAGGAUGUGGGCCAGUGUAACACAACAGACGUCUCAGAGGGGCUCCUGCAACCUGGCCAGCGCCCCUGCAACUGCCGUGAGAACAUGCUGGAGCUGGCCUGCUGGAGUGUGAGAAAACAAGCAGAGAGCUGAGGCACCCCACUCUUUGUGGGUCAGCCCAGAGCCGGCUGACCUGCCGACCUGAACGAGCCAGGAGAGGUGGAUUCCGUGCCACUGAAUCUCGGGUGGUGAGGCCCAGGGACCUGGGGCUGAGCACACCCACUGGUGAUUCCAAUGCGUGCUAACCGCUGAGGAGCACCGGCCUAGAUGACCAGCAGCUGCUGCUGAUGCCUGCCGGACUCCAGUGGGGCCAGAAGAACUGAGGCUUGAGCCUGGUCCAGCUUGGCAGGACCCUGCAGGUUUGUGAGCUGAGAGACGGUUGCUGCUUGCUACUGAGGACUUGCUGUUGUUACACCCCAGUAUUGUGCAAUGGACGACUGAUACACUUGCCCACACUCCCUCCUUCCUGAGAGUAGACGGAUUCCCAGGGCUAAAGCAAGAAAAAGGCAGAGCAAAUAAGGAAACUCGGUGCUCCAUCCCGCUCCCUUCCUUCCAGGAGACAUUGUGAGGGACAGGCCAAAGCACAGACGUGAGGGAAGAGAACAGCUGGGCUGAGUCCUGCCCCACUCUGGUAGAAGAGUCACUGCACAGAGACAGCCCUGGGAGGGGGCAGGCAGCUGCCCGCCAGGGGGCUGAGGCCCAGCUGUGCUGUGAGUGGGCACGCACACCUGAAGACGUGAGGUCGGGAUGUGGAGGGCAGUUUAGAUUGUGAACAGGACGCAGGUGGGAAUGCGGAUGUUUAAAGAGAUGCUUCCAGAGGCAAGAGAGGCUGGCGAUGCAGAGCAGACAGAAGUGGGGUGCCAGCUGCUGAGGGGCCAGACGACCCAUGUAAUGCUUUGUGUGGGUGAGCCUCCCACCCACCUCGACCCGGAUGCAGCCCUCCGUGCCCAGGGUGAGGGGACCUUCACUGCACCCAGGAUGGGGCAUCUCUGAAUACACUUCAGUCACCUAGGAAAAAUUUCCCCCAAGAAGCAAACUAGGGGCAGGUAGAAAUGAUGUUCAGUGACUGGGUGAAAAUAAAUGUUCUCAAUAUUGAAUAACAAGACAAUAACAACUCCACUGAGAAAUGGGGCAAGGACUUUUUAAAAAGCCAGAGAAGUAGGGGGAGAUAAGCCAACAAAUGCGUGAAAAGAUGUUCAAACUUACAAAUAAAUACAAAUGAAAGGAAAGGCUGGAUGGCAGGUGGAAGAACAGACCCACUCAUGCCCUCUCCCCACACCCCACAAGGUAACAACAAAGGGGUUUUUUAAGGCAUCAGCCGACAAGAACAACAAUCAUGUGAGAGGAAACAGGAACAAGAUCUGGGAAACGAGAAUGCCGGUGGCCACAUAGUAAGUGGCCCGGCAGAGGAGGGAAGCCAAGGGACCGAAUCCUAACCAGCAGCCGGGAAAGCCCACAAGCUGCUCGAUCCACGUGGCAGAACCUCAAGAACAUCUCAGGUUUCUGGCAUCAGGUAGCAGGUGCGGAGGUGCCAUGGAAGUAAAGAUGGGGCUAAGAGCAGAAGACUGAUUAAACUCCCCUGCUGGGAGUCAGACAGAGCCCCCUCCCCCAGACAGCUGACUGCCUGCACCUCCUCCCUCCCACUGGCAGAGGAGGCCAGACUCUUCUCUGCACUGAAAAUGGAGGCAGGAGGCGGGGCGUGAACAGGUGUCUACAUUCUACUGAGACCCAAGCUCCAGACCCCUCUCAGCUCCCAGCAUGGAGGCCCUAUUCCCCUCAGGCAGGAAAACAGAAGAACCUCCUGGAAGCAGGACCAGCUGAGAGGAAAGACCAAAAGGCAGUGUCUCUGGUGGCUCCUUAAAGAUGAGGCUGAGCCACAUGUCGAAGCCACAGCCACAGGCUCAGGACUUCCCUCAGCUCUUCAGUGCCUACUCUCAACUGGGAGCCCACAGCCAGCCUCCCGGGGCUCCUGAGGGAGGCCUGCAGCACACAGCACAGGGACCGAAGGAAAACUCGACCAACGCAGAGAAGUUAUUACGUCAGACACCUCACAGAUAAAGAACAAAAGAAAAACUGCAAGAUGAAAUGUGGAGGACAAAGGCAAUGUGAAGAGAAAACCCCAGAAAACUAAUUAAUAUCCUCAGAGAUAAGAUUAAGCAGCUGUGGGGGGAAGGGAGCGCCCCAGAUGCUGAGGAAGGAGGGAGGAUGAACAAGAUUGGCUCCGGCCAGGAGACAAGACGGAGCCCACCUCCACAGACGAAAGCUGCUCGCUGCCUGCAGCAGCCCGGGAACCCACGCACCCCGCACGCUCCCAGAAGGUUCCUCUUCAGUGCUGACAUGCUCUCCAAGAAGAAGCCCGCGGUCCUGGGCGUCCCCAGGGGCAGCUGGGCCUGAGUAACAGAGCCGUGGCAGAGCUGGGGUUCGAAGCAGCACACGAGUGCAGGUUGGAGUUCAGAGCAGCUGUGCCUUGACGCAGCCGGGAGGGCCAGCCAGGAGGAUGUCGGGAGAGCAGCGAGGCGGCUGUGCAAGGUCGCUUGGAUUGAGGCGGGAACAGGGGCGCAAGAAGUGCACGGUGGUCCGGGAAUGCGGCCUGCAGGAGAAUGCAGCUUCGCGGAGGCUUGUUGAGAGAUUUGGAAAUCUGUUAGCACUGAAUUGUGCGAAGAGCAUUCAUAGACGUAUUUCCACUCCCUGCUGCCCCGUUAGUCUGGGCUCGUAGCUUUCCUGUUCCUCAGUCCUAGCUGCCUGUCCGCCCCGGGACAGCUGUAACCAACGGCCCUUCCAGGCCAGGGGACCUCCUUGGAGGACAACGACCAUGCCCAGAAGUCAUUCUCAAUCUCCUGUAUUGGGGGUCCUGCUUGCAUGUCCUGUGACCCAGCGCAGAGGCACAUUCAGCCUCUGACCAGGUGGACGUUGAUCCUGGGAAGUCCCUCUCUGGAAGACUCAGGAUGUAGACGCUGCCCCAGCCAUUUUUCUAAUUGAAAGCUUUAUUUGCUAGAAUGGAGCACUUCUGCAUGGUUUUAGGUCUACAUAGGUAUUACAAGGCACUCAGCGUGAACCUAGUAAGUUGCAAGCCAGAAAUAACAGAAUCUUUUUGGAAAAAUCUAAUAGAUUGUUCUUUAUUUUUUCGAAAAUUUUUUUAUUGUGGUAAAAUACACAUAAC
rnacentral:lncRNA from 1 species